UUUCCCUUCUCCCUCCACCUGCCGACACGCAGCGCGCUGACGUCACCGCGCCGGGCACGCCCCACCUCGGCCCCGCCUCCAGCCGCCAUUUCAAGUGUGGCUGUAUAAGCAGCGAGCAAGUAAGAAGCCCGAGGAGGAGGAAGUUCACAAUGGAAGGGAAGAAAUGUUUCGAAAGGAGUUCAACAAGGGCAUCGGAAAGCCAGAGAAGAGCCUAAAAUAGCAGAAGCGGUAGCCACACUGAGCAUGGCAACCAAACGGCGGCUUAGUGGAGGGGGCGGAGCCACUUCUGGCGGCGGGGGCACGUUGCCGUCUCCGCUGCGCAUUCAUUGGGUUAUUUGAGAACGAAUCAGAAAAGCAAUAGGGAGAAGAGGGAUGGGGAUCAAAUCUACCAGAGAGGAGCUAAAUCUGAUGACAUGAAUGAGAUGCCUUACUGGAUAUACUCCAGGAUUGCCAGAGAAACUGGAAUAAUUUACUGGUGUAUUUCUUCCGGAUAGUCCAUGAUAUAUCUAGAAUAUAAUCUCUACUUAUCUGGAUCCUUCAAACUAGACCAAAGGGAAAAUCUGGGCUGCAAGCCUCAAUUAGAAAUGUGGUAUGCUGCUAUGCUGACAACUGGUGCUCCCUGACCUGUAUCUUCUGAGACCAGAACCCAGUGUGGUGGAUGAGCAAUUCAUGAGUUGAACAAAAGAAGACCUCCUACAGGGCAGUGUAUGUGUUCAUUACAGGUAUGGCUCUUAGGGCUAAGUACCAUAAGGACUACAAGAAACAAACAAACAAAAGUAACACAUGAAGCAUAUAUGAUAAGGAGGCACCACAGUCCAGAGCACGAGCUCUGGAAUCACACAGGCUUGGUUCGAAUCCUAGCUAAGCCACUACCAUCUGUAUACCCUGAAGAACAGUGGAAAGUUUAAAUGUUGUUUAUCAAAUUUCGAAAAAGAAGUGAAGAAAGAACCUAUCUGCCAGGAGGGGCCAUCACGGGGUGCAGCAUCCAGUCGGGUCAGGCUCUGCAUCUCCUGGUCAGAAACCUUCGCCGCCUGGCUCAUGGUGAUGCUGGCAGCUGAGCAGCCCUGGAGAAGGUGCUCCAGUCUC